rfam:Rhizobium sp. 63-7 SCNpilot_expt_1000_bf_scaffold_1614, whole genome shotgun sequence.
CGUCAGGACACCUCUCCCUAACGAGAGGCUUCUAUCUGGAAGGGUAGCCCCA